UAUUGAAAAAGCUACUCAUAUGUGGUCUGAGAUGCUCCAGUGGAGGAUCAACUUUGGUGCUGAUACUAUCAUUCAUGAUUUUGUAUUUGAUGAACUCGACGAAGUCCUCCAUUAUUAAGAUUUUGAACUCUACGCCAUAGAUCGCCUCCGAGUCCUGCAGGGUAUUUCAGAUGGUUUG